rnacentral:rRNA from 1 species
UACGUAGGGACCAAGCGUUGUUCGGAUUUACUGGGCGUAAAGGGCGCGUAGGCGGCGCGGUAAGUCACUUGUGAAAUCUCUGAGCUUAACUCAGAACGGGCAAGUGAUACUGCAGUGCUAGAGUGUGGAAGGGGCAAUCGGAAUUCUUGGUGUAGCGGUGAAAUGCGUAGAUAUUCGGAGGAACACCAGUGGCGAAGGCGGCUCACUGGUCCAUUACUGACGCUGAGGUGCGAAAGCGUGGGGAGCAAACAGG